UAUUGUUCAAUAACGGGUCCAAUUCCUUCUUCACUAGGGAAUUUGAGUGGGUUGAAUUAUCUGUAUUUAUCUGAUAACUUGCUCACUGGUGCAAUACCUUCCACAUUGGGGCAGUUAUCAUCUCUAUCUGUCCUUGAUCUUUCGCAAAAUUCGUUGUCAGGAGCAAUACCUUCUACAUUGGGGCAGUUAUCAUCGCUAUCUGUUCUCAAUCUUUCGCGAAAUUCAUUGGCAGGAGCAAUACCGUCUACACUGGGGCAGUUAUCAUCGCUAUCUGUCCUCAAUCUUUCGCAAAAUUCGUUGACAGGAGCAAUACCUUCUACAUUGGGGCAGUUAUCAUUGCUAUCUGUUCUCAAUCUUUCGCGAAAUUCGUUGACAGGAGCGAUUCCAGAUUCCUUCUCAGCUCUUCGCAAUCUUUCCCAUCUUGACCUAUCUUCGAAUUUCCUCUCUGGUUCAAUUCCUUCC
rnacentral:lncRNA from 1 species